UCUUCUUCUCUCUUUUUUUUUCUUUUUCUUUUCCUUCCUUUGUUUUCUCUCCAAACCAGCCACGGCAAGCUUCAGAGCAGCCACCGUCGGAGCUCCAUUUCUGACACGCGCUGGAGCUGCAGCUUCCCUGACCGGCGAUGACGGAAACCCCAAAGUUUGGUGACCAUCGGAGCAAGGACGCGCCUGUACGGCCACUCCGAAGUUUCGCCGUCGAAACUUUGAGGUGACUUUCCGGCGAACUCCGACCACCGUUCGGCGAAUGGGUGGUACCAUUGGAAUCAGCAUCGUGAAAGGAUCGUCGCCCACUAAGUCAUCCCGGUCAACUCGCCAUUUUUCUCCGGCGACACCGGAGGUCAUUUGGGCGAAGGAGCUGUACUUUCGUGAUGUACUCAUCGAGAGGAUCGUUUUGAUAUAUGCUAUGCAUAUAUUCGUUGACGUUUCCGGUACUGCCACCAACCGCUAUAGUGCACCGCUUGGGAAAAGCGUGAUAUUAAAAUCAGACUAAAUCAUUCUAAGAUCAUCGAUAAGCUUAGGAGCGUUGCUUUGGGCUCGGAUUAAAUUCUAAAGAGGUAGGGACUCAACUAGACUAUUGGACUUAUUUUACUCGUAUUAAAUUGCAUUCAACAUAUUCCAAUUUUGAUAUUUAUAAAAUGUUUGAAAAAUUGAAAACUUAACCUGCAUGUUUUCUGAUCUGUUCUGAGGGCACCGAGUGCCAAAUAUAUAUUUUUGUUCACUUAUUUAUGCAGGUUAUGAUUUUUGGGUUUAUUCAAAUGUAGCUGUUAUACUGCCCAAUUUUCUAAAAUGUAAAGGGAAUAUGUUUGUUUCUUUUAAUGUUUACCUGCAUUUGGUUAUACUGAUGAGAGCCAUAGUGGUCAUGAUUGGUGCACGUUGUUGUUUCACGACCUAGUCUCUGUGUCAUCAUAGGUAGAUCAGGUGUCCACUCACCUGUAGGUGUAAAGACCUAGUAUCUGUAUACAGGAAGUGUUCUGAGCCUCCCCCUUGUGGUGGUUAUCAGGUCCGGCUACCCGAUUUAGGAUGUCGGAUUUUCUAUGGUGGGUAACGGGAACUAGGGAUGUAGUGGACGGUGUGAUGUGCACUUGUAGCUAUGCUUUUAUGAUUAUUUGUGGUCUCUCUAUUUUGGUUUAUACAUGAUGAUGUGUGUUUUGUUUUAAAAAGCUAACCAAGCAGGGGUUUUUAUUGAACUUUUGAGUCCGAUGUUGUUAGUUGCUUUCCUACUGGGCUUUAUAAGCUCACCCCUAUCUCUCCCAUUCCAGGAGCCUAGUGAAGCGAACGUGGAAAAGUAUGAAUUGUUGCUGAAGCCAAGGUGUUUAGAGCCACAAUCCUAUCUUUUGAACAUUGCCGGGUGGUGGUGCUCUUGGCGUGGUGGUCCUCUCGGCGUGGAGUCGUACUGUCGUCAGCAGGUGCGGAGGUGUGACGUCGUCGGGUGGUGGAGCUCCUCCCGUCGUGGCAUGGUGGGGCGGCGUGGUGAGGGAGAUAGAGAAAGAGGGAGGGGAAGGGUAAGGAGAAUGAGAGAGAGGGGCUUCGGGUAAGGAGAAUGAGAGAGGGAGCUUCUAAUUUGUGAGGGUGUGUGAGUGUCGGCGCAGAGAGAAGAAAAUGAGGGAGUUGGUAGGGUUUUGUUAUGUUACAUUUUCAGGGGCGACACGUGUAAUUGUCGCCCCUAAUAUUAAAACGCACAAUUUUAUCAAUUUUUCCCCAAAAGAAAAUUGCGUAUAUUUUCUUUUUGAAUUUUUCUUAAAAUUCUUCAACUAUCAAUGAUGACGAUGUCUCAUAUGAGGGGUGACUAACAACAUGUGGCCUCUAAUAACAAUCUCAAUAUUAGGGGCGAUAUGGAGUCACCUUGAUAUUGUUGCCUCUAAUAAUUGUUUUUCUUGUAGUGAUAUUUUGCAACAUUGAAAUUUGAAUGCUUCAAAAUAGUGAAAAUACCUCGAGCUGAUGAUAGUUCAGUAAGAUGAGAUGAUGGUGUGGUUCAGUGCGAGAAGAAAAUGAAAAAUCUGAAGCUGGAGUUGAUGAAAGCACCUCACCGACAAAGGCACCUGUAU